UCUAGGGGGCUGUAAGGUUCAACAGUCUGGUCUGUUUCCCUCUAGGGGGCUGUAAGGUUCAACAGUCUGGUCUGUUUCCCUCUAGGGGGCUGUAAGGUUCAACAGUCUGGUCUGUUUCCCUCUAGGGGGCUGUAAGGUUCAACAGUCUGGUCUGUUUCCCUCUAGGGGGCUGUAAGGUUCAACAGUCUGGUCUGUUUCCCUCUAGGGGGCUGUAAGGUUCAACAGUCUGGUCUGUUUCCCUCUAGGGUGCUGUAAGGUUCAACAGUCUGGUCUGUUUCCCUCUAGGGGGCUGUAAGGUUCAACAGUCUGGUCUGUUUCCCUCUAGGGGGCUGUAAGGUUCAACAGUCUGGUCUGUUUCCCUCUAGGGGGCUGUAAGGUUCAACAGUCUGGUCUGUUUCCCUCUAGGGGGCUGUAAGGUUCAACAGUCUGGUCUGUUUCCCUCUAGGGGGCUGUAAGGUUCAACACAGUGUCUGGUCUGUUUCCCUCUAGGGGGCUGUAAGGUUCAACAGUCUGG